rnacentral:rRNA from 1 species
UACGGAGGGUGCAAGCGUUGUCCGGAAUCACUGGGUGUAAAGGGUGUGUAGGCGGGGCUGUAAGUCAGAGGUGAAAUCCUGCGGCUCAACCGUAGAACUGCCUUUGAUACUGCAGCUCUUGAAUCUCGGAGAGGUCAUUAGAAUUCGUGGUGUAGCGGUGAAAUGCGUAGAUAUCACGAGGAAUACCAGAGGCGUAGGCGGAUGACUGGACGAGUAUUGACGCUGAGGCACGAAAGCGUGGGGAGCAAACAGG